rnacentral:tRNA from 3 species
GGGCGUGUAGCUCAGUGGUUAGUAGCACUACUCUUAUAAAGUAGGGGUCGAUGGUUCGAAUCCAUCCACGCCCA